rnacentral:rRNA from 1 species
AAAAAGUUUUGGUCCUAAACUUUCCAUUGUUUUUAAUUAAGUUUAUACAUGCAAGCCUCCACAUACCAGUGAGAAUGCCCACCACCCCUAAACAGCCAACCGGAGCCGGUAUCAGGAACAAGAAACCCGCCAACGACACCUUGCUUUGCCACACCCCCACGGGCCUACAGCAGUAAUUAACAUUAAACCAUAAGCGAAAGCUUGAUUUGGCUAUAAUUAACGACAGUCGGUUAAUUUCGUGCCAGCCACCGCGGUUAUACGAAAGACUGGAAACAACGGCCGCCGGCGUAAAGAGUGACUAGAGAACAUCUCUCAUAUUAAAGACAAACUUAUACAAAGCCGUAAAACGCCAAUAUAGCUCAGGAAGCACGCCACCCUCUUUAAACAAAAGAUUUCUUCACCUCACUAAAGCUAAGAAACAAACUAGGAUUAGAUACCCUACUAUGCUCAGCCAUAAACAUAGACAAUACAAAUACAUAUUGUUCGCCAGAGAACUACAAGUGAAAAACUCAAAACUCCAAGGACUUGGCGGUGCCCCACACCGACCUAGAGGAGCCUGUCCUACAAUCGAUACCCCACGCUAAACCCAACCACCCCUCGCCAAUCAGCCUAUAUACCGCCGUCGUCAGCCCACCUUAUGAAAGAAGAACAGUUGGCAAGAUAGUUAACAACAAACACGUCAGGUCAAGGUGUAGCACAUGAGGUGGCAGAGAUGGGCUACAUUCUCUACUCCAGAACACACGGAUGGCAUAAUGAAACCUUAUACCUAAAGGCGGAUUUAGCAGUAAGACAAACAAGUAUUUCUGUCUUAAACCAGCUCUGGGGCGCGCACACACCGC